GGGUCAGUAGCUUAGCGGUUAAAGCACCAAGCUUAUACCUUGGUGAUCGAUGGUUCGAAUCCAUCCUGACCCA
rnacentral:tRNA from 1 species